rnacentral:rRNA from 1 species
UACGUAGGGGGCAAGCGUUGUCCGGAAUCACUGGGCGUAAAGGGCGCGUAGGCGGCUCAUGAAGGCUGUGGUGAAAGUCCGGGGCUCAACCUCGGAUCGGCCGUGGCGACUCGUGGGCUGGAGCACUGUAGAGGCGGGUGGAAUUCCGGGUGUAGCGGUGGAAUGCGUAGAGAUCCGGAAGAACACCAGUGGCGAAGGCGGCUACCUGGACCAGCACUGACACUGAGGCACGAAAGCGUGGGGAGCAAACAGGG